GUGCUCACUUUGCCAGCACAAAUACUAAAACUGGAAUGGUACAGAUUAGCAUGGCCCCUGCACAGGGAGAACACGGGGGGAAAAGAAAAGAAAAAGCAGAAA
ensembl:snRNA U6 spliceosomal RNA